rnacentral:lncRNA from 1 species
GAAAAACAAGUCCCAGGGAAUGGAAGCAAUUUGCCUAGUUCUUUCCAACUUCUAACAGUACAGCAGGGUUAAUACCCUUUUAUUCCCGAUUUCUGUCCAGGAAUCCUGGUCUGCAGACAGCCCUGUCUUCUAGUCCAAGAUGCUGGCCAAGAGUGUUGAGGUGGGGAGAAUGAAAGUGAGACGAGGGAAGAUCUCAGACUUACACCUGCCCUGCCCCGCCUGGCUGAUUCUCCAGCCCCAGCCGGAGAGCCACUCACCAUUUUGAUGGGCCGGAAGGACAUGAGCCGAUCACUGCGGUAGCUGCUCGACCAUGUGUUCCAGCGAGGGUACUCGCCCUUCUCCAGGAUGAACAUCUCCCCGCGGAAGUUGGACUGCUCAAAGGCGACCCAGCUGGAUACAAGAAGGACCAUGAGGCAGACAGGAGACAUAUGAGUUCUUAGGAAAAAAGAGACGGAUGAGGGGACACUGACACUAGCAUCUUCUCCCAGGGGGCUGCUGGGACCCUGCUCUCCCCAGAAGGAGAUAAGGAUGAUGGGCUAUC